GGGGUCUGUUGUACAGUGCUAAGAGUUCCUGUUUCUUUGGUACAGUGCUGUCAAGCAAGAAAAAGGUGGUUGUUUUUUUUUAAAGAAAAAAGUAGGAUGAUUCUAACAUUAUAGUAGAUGAACAUUCAGACACACGCAACAAGGGAGCCAAUUUUUCGUCAUUAUGAAUGCAUAUUGGGACAGAAUCAGGCAGUGUUCAUGCAGCUGUGUUUUUGUCACUGUAAGUAAACAAGCUGGUGGGAUCAUACAUGUGGAGGAACCACCUUAAAACUCAAAUAUAGCGUGGUGGACUGGUCUGCAAGGCAGCUCCUUCCUUCAGUGAAUGGUGUGCCAUGGCAGAUAAAUGGGAAGCACAAAAAUGGGAUGAUUUGGAAUAUUCAGAACCAUAAAUGUAUUGAGCCUGGAAAUUUGGAAAGAGAAAGUAUUGAAAACAGAAGAUCUGAUUUCCUCGAGGAAGAAUACGGGAACAAAUGAGCUCUCGCCAAAGGGCCUUUUCUGGGUUCUGUAUUCAGCUUCCGGGAGGUCAUCUGAUAUUAAAGCUGUUUUUUCCAUCAAAAGA
ensembl:lncRNA